CGAACGGGUGAGUAACGCGUGGGUAACCUACCUCUUAGUGGGGGACAACUAUUGGAAACGAUAGCUAAUACCGCAUAACAAUGCUUAACACAUGUUAAGGAUUUGAAAGUACCAAUUGGUACACUAGGAGAUGGACCCGCGUUGUAUUAGCUAGUUGGUAGUGUAAUGGACUACCGAGGCGAUGAUACAUAGCCGACCUGAGAGGGUGAUCGGCCACAUUGGGACUGAGACACGGCCCAAACUCCUACGGGAGGCAGCAG
rnacentral:rRNA from 1 species